CUCGAAGGAACAGAGAUAUUUGUUGUGUUUUGGAAUUGGGGGAUUAGGGAAAACUUUAUAUAUCUUUUCUCUCCUCGAGUUUCAGGUCUAACCCUAACCGUAGAACUCAGCCAUGUCUUCCAAGCAAGGAGGGAAAUUGAAACCCUUGAAGCAGCCCAAGUCUGGUAAGAAGGAAUACGAUGAGCACGAUAAGGAGUUAAUUCAGAAAAAGAAGGAUGAAGAGAAGGCGCUUAAAGAACUCAGGAGCAAGGCAUCACAAAAGGGAUCGUUCGGUGGUGCAGGUCUUAAGAAAAGUGGCAAGAAAUAAUAAUUCUCUUCUCAUCUCCUCCUCAAAUGUAAAAAAAAUAGCUCAAAUCUAUUUCUUGUUGGGAAACUCAUAUUUGAAAAAAAAA